GCCCGGGUGGUCUAGUGGUAUGAUUCGCGCUUAGGGUGCGCGAGGUCCCCGGUUCGAUCCCGGGCUCGGGCC
rnacentral:tRNA from 4 species